AGCGGCGGACGGGUGAGUAACACGUGGGCAACCUACCUGUAAGACUGGGAUAACUCCGGGAAACCGGGGCUAAUACCGGAUGAAACAAAGCGUCGCAUGACGCAAUGUUAAAAGGCGGCAUAUGCUGUCACUUACAGAUGGGCCCGCGGCGCAUUAGCUAGUUGGUGAGGUAAAGGCUCACCAAGGCAACGAUGCGUAGCCGACCUGAGAGGGUGAUCGGCCACACUGGGACUGAGACACGGCCCAGACUCCUACGGGAGGCAGCAGUAGGGAAUCUUCCGCAAUGGACGAAAGUCUGACGGAGCAACGCCGCGUGAGUGAUGAAGGUUUUCGGAUCGUAAAACUCUGUUGUUAGGGAAGAACAAGUGCCAUUCGAAUAGGUUGGCACCUUGACGGUACCUAACCAGAAAGCCCCGGCUAACUACGUGCCAGCAGCCGCGGUAAUACGUAGGGGGCAAGCGUUGUCCGGAAUUAUUGGGCGUAAAGCGCGCGCAGGCGGUCCUUUAAGUCUGAUGUGAAAGCCCACGGCUUAACCGUGGAGGGCCAUUGGAAACUGGAGGACUUGAGUACAGAAGAGGAGAGUGGAAUUCCACGUGUAGCGGUGAAAUGCGUAGAGAUGUGGAGGAACACCAGUGGCGAACGCGACUCUCUGGUCUGUAACUGACGCUGAGGUGCGAAAGCGUGGGUAGCGAACAGGAUUAGAUACCCUGGUAGUCCACGCCGUAA
rnacentral:rRNA from 1 species